AGUGCGCGAUAGACUUACCUCCCCGUGGUGCACACUAGGCAACAUAUACCAAUAUGGCAAAAAAGUCUAU
rnacentral:ribozyme from 1 species